UCCGGGUCGAAAAUAAAAGGCCACCCGUGGCUUGAAAAGGAAAAAGGUUUCUGUUUCUGGAGGGAAGGAAAGAAGAACCGAACAACGUUUAGCCCAAGUCGCUUGAUCUGCCUUGCCACUGGAGAAGUGUUUGUUUUGGGCUCCGAAAGUGACGGCCGAGGAACAGCCUUGGAAAGUCCUUGUAGGGCGACAACUCCCGCCGAUGCAAGACUUGAUGAGACCAGUUUCUACGCAAGAGCUUGACCUGUUUCAGGUCCAGAGAAACUCAGUGACACUCUUGCUUCCCAGCCUUCCUGGUCACUCUCAGAUAUUCCAGAUUGAAAGUUUCCAUGGCAUCCAUUGCCAGGCCUUGUGUGCUCUCGGGGAAGAUGCUCUUCUGUACCCACCAGGUCAGUAUCAGAAAAAACAAGAGCAGCUGAAGACAAACACAAUUUUCCUGAGACAACAAAUAAACAAAACAAUGAGUGGUUGAAGUAUGAAUAUGUAAUUAACAACUUCAAAUGUUCUGAGGAAAGGACCAGAGAGGAGCCAAAAGAACUGGACCCCAUGUUUGCCUAAAGGGGUCCAUAUUGUGACCUGAUGAAUCCAAAUGCUUACCUUUCUGCAGAUCAUUUGCAGAGUUCAUUUAACUUCAUUCAAAAUACCUCUAAACCCACCACCCAUAAGAAUCAUAAGAUAAACAGUAUAAAACA